AAAAACUCAAUCUUGUACUCAUUAAGACAUGGAUUUAUGUAAAACAAUUCCAAACACACAGGAGUCCUGGAACUCAAGGAUUCAAAGGCAAAUGCAAAUACAAAAUGAUGGCUGGUGAGUGAGGGCUAAAAAAAAAAGAAAGAAGGAAUUCUUUUCAAUGGGCCUUAAAAACAACGUCUUUACAUAGUAUGAAAGUAAUUCAAACACUUAAAAAAAAAGUUAAUAAGCAGGCUUUCUCAAGUAAUGAGAUAUUUUAAAGGG
rnacentral:lncRNA from 1 species